GAUCGCAAUGAUGACUUGAAAAAUUCAAGCUCAACAGACUGGAUUACAAGCUUUCUCUCUGAGAAGGUUGUAUGUCGACAACUACACUAUACUGAGUGAUC